GAAUUCCUGGUUUAUGAGCCGUUCAUUUACUGGAUCGGACGGCUGCUACUCAUUCGUUUGUGUACUUGUCCUAGAGGGUUAAGCACAUCACUCCACAAGAUACGAGCAAUGUAGGCAGACGCAGCAUGAAGCCUCGCUUCCAGUGCAUACAUGAGCACAAGCACAUUCAGACAGGCGAUGGGCAUAGAAAAUUAGUACGAUAUUCUAGCACCAGGAUGCUUCUAUUUUGUAGCCCAUAUUGUAUGAAGCUUUUAUUUUGUGGCUCAUAUGUAAUUUUUCAUCUGUGGUCUAUUGUCUUCUCGCUUACACAAGCGGUGGCAGAUCUAAUCCCUUUCGGCUCUAUUUUGUAACCCAUAUUGUAUGAAGCUUCUAUUUUGUGACUCAUAUGUACAAAUUCAAUGCAAUAGUGGUCAAUCGUCUUCUGCUCGCUCUCACACAGGCAUAUCUGGCCCCAUCGGCCAGCCCAUGGGCUCUUCUUCAGGGUGUGCAAAACCAAACUGAAAACCAAAAACCGAACCAAAGAAAAACGAACCAAAAUUAUGGUUUUCGGUUUCAGUUAUGGUUUCCAUAUCUCAAAACCGUUUGCCAUUCGGAUUUUUCGUUUAAAAACCGAACACCAUUGGGUUGAAACUGAAAAACUGAAAUGACGUUUUUUUUUUGAGAACUCUCGCCCAACUUUAUUCAUUCAAAAACAAGCGACAUAGGUACAAGGUUUGGGUCAUGAGGGUUGCCCAACCACACAUGUCUACCUAGUCCUAGAGUACAUGCAAACUUGGCGAGAUUAUGAGCCUCAUAAUUAUGGUUCCUACGCUCAUGAACAAAAGAGCAAGAAUUAAAACUAUUACAUCGAAGCAUUAUUUCAUGUAUAAGAGCAGCGUUGGGGCCUCCUUUCCCUCUGUUAAUAUCAUUGACCACUUCUUGGCAAUCCGAUGCCACACAUAUGUUCAUUGUCGCAAGAUCUUCCGCCAAAGCCAACGCUUCUCUGCAAGCAUAAGUCUCAAGCAUCAUCGGAUCGGUAACUCCAUGAUAAACAACCGCCGAUGAACCCAGAUAAUGGCCGUCCUGAUCUCGGCAAAUUGCUGCAGCAGCUCCUCUGCGCCGAGACCUGGCCACUGCUCCAUCUACAUUCAACUUUACCAUGCCAGUCGGAGGUGGAAGCCACCUCUUCUGCUGCACCACCGCCCCCUUUGCGUUAUUUCAUGCUCCUUCUUCGCAUGUAUCUAGCCCAGCUCUUGUAUAUCAUUAUUCACAAAGGAUGUGGUUUGUUGUGGACUCUGGAAAAUUGAUUCAUAUAUAGCCUUCCUCCUUGCAUACCAGAUAGACCAUAGUGUAAUUACCAGUCGCGUGAAGCUUGCAUGGUCCAGAGAUUCGUUCAGUUGGAAUAACCAAAUCCUCGUGUUGGCUUCCAAAUUUUCAGACAUUUAGGAGACAAGAACCUCAUCCGAUAGAGCCCAAACGCAGCGUGACAUCGUGCAUGACACCAGCGCAUGCCUCCAUGAAUCCACGCAGCCACAUAGCGGUCAUGUGGCCUGUACCGCCAUGUUCCUUCUAUGCAAAGUGUCCGUCGUUGGUAGCGAGUGAUGAGCGAGCCUCCAAAGAAAAAUCCUUACCUUCGAUGGUACCUGUAACUUCCUGAGCUCCAUGACCGUUCUUCUUGUUCGUCAUUGGAGGACCCACUCCUUCCUUCAAGCCACUCCUCCCUCUGCAGCUUCGUUUUCUGAAGAAAUUUGUAUGCCGAACUAACAGUGAAGUUGCCCUUCUUCUCCGGGUGCCACGCCCAGAAGUGUGAUACAUUGCGUGUACAUACAGGAAUCUUCAAUAUGGCAUUGGCGUCAAUUGGCAGGAAAACACUGCGUAUCAAGUCCUCAUUCCAUGAUGCAGUCACCGGGAUCAAUAGCUCUGACACGUACCUUGGAGGGUUUGACACUAGCGACGUGAUCGGGCGUGGUGUCAUCUCCUUCGGUAUCCAAUUAUGAGCCCAAAUAUCUGUCGUUUGUCCAUUGCCAAUCCGCCUUAUAAUGCCUUGCUAUAGUAAAUCCCUUCCCUCCAAAAUAGCUCGCCAAAUCUGUGAUGGUCGCGUCCCUAACUCCGCAUCAAGGAUAGACCUGUCUGGGUAGUACAUAGCUUUAAGGAUUCUAGCACUUAGGCUUGUUGGUUCCUGAAGAAGCCUCCAUGCUUGUCUUGCAAGCAGAGCCAAAUUAAAAAUCUCAAGGUCCCUGAAUCCAAGACCCCCCAAAUGCUUUGGCCGGGUCAUGACAUCCCAAGAAACCCAUGCCGGCUUGCGCUCACAUUGCUUACAUCCCCACCAGAAUUUCCUGAUAAUAGACUUGAUGUGAUCACAUAGUCCCCUUGGGAGCUUAAAGCAUGACAUCGAAAAAACCGGGAUGGCUUGUGCUACUGAUUUGAUAAGAACAUCCUUGCCCCCAGCUGAUAGGCAAUUGCUCAUCCAUCCCUUCACCUUGUCCCACACCCUGUCACUCAAAUACUUAAACGUACCCUUCUUUGAGUGGCCCACAUCAGUUGGCAUGCCCAAAUAUCUGUCAUUCAAAGACUCAUUGUGGACUUGCAGAAAACCCUUGACAGCAUCAUGCACUAUCUCUGGGCAGCCCUUACUGAAAAAGAUAGAUGAUUUUUCCUUAUUUAUUCUCUGUCCCGAUGCCAUGCAGUAAGUAUUCAAUAGGUUUGAAACUUCCUCCGCUCUAUCAACACUUGCCCUGAAAAACAGCAGGCUAUCAUCCGCGAACAAAAGAUGAUUCACCGCCGGUGCCGACGGUGCCACCUUAAUGCCGCUGAGCUGGGAUGAUUCAUUUUGAGAGUUUAAUAGGCACGAAAGGCCCUCUGCUGCUAACAAGAAAAGGUAAGGAGAGAUUGGAUCUCCCUAUCGAAUACCUCUCGUAGGUUGAAAUUCUUCUGAUUUCACACCAUUAAACAGAACAGAAAAGGAUACUGAGCUCACCAUAUUCAUCAUGACAGUCACCCAAGGUGUAGCAAAACCCAGUUUCUCCAUGAUUGACUUCAAAUAAGACCACUCCACUCGGUCAUAAGCCUUCAUCAUGUCAAGUUUUAGUGCAGCAUAAACAUUGUUCUUUGACCUCUUUCGUUUCAUAAAGUGCAAACACUCGUACGCUGAGAUUAUGUUGUCAGUAAUCAACCUUCCAGGAACGAAUGCCGACUGCCCAGCUGAUAUAAUCUCCGGUAGAAUCAUUUUCAGACGGUUUGCCAACACCUUCGAGGCUAUCUUAUAAAAAACAUUACAUAGGCUUAUUGGGCGGAAUUGAGAUAGCAACGUUGGGUUAGGUACCUUUGGGAUUAAUACCAGCAAUGUAUCAUUCACAGCAGCCGGACUUUCCCCCCCCUUCACAAUAGCUAACACUGCGUUUGUUACCGCAUGUCCACAUACAUCCCAGUGCUUCUGGAAAAAGUGAGCAGGAAAACCGUCAGGCCCUGGAGCUUUUGUUGGGAACAUUUGGAAUAGCGCGGUCUUGACCUCCUUAGCUUCGUAAGGGGCCAGCAAGGUUUCGUUCAUAGCCGCGGUAACUUUCACCGGUAUAUGCUAUAGAACCUCAUCCACCCCUUGAACCCCCUCCGAGCUAUAUAAGUUUUUAUAAAACUCCAAUGCCAUUUGCUGCAUCUCCGUCUGGUCACUAGUAACUUGUCCACAUGGCCGUUCCAGUGCCUUUAUCAGAUUCUUUCUUCUCCGCAUCGAGGCUCGCAUAUGAAAGAAGUGUGAGUUCCGGUCUCCCGCCGAUAGCCACUCCACCCGGGAUCAUUGCCGCCACAUCAACUCUUCCCGCAGGUAAAGCUCUAUCAGACGAUCGUUUAUCUUUACUUCCGCAUGCGACGGGCCCUUCCGCGCUGCAUCAUUGCGCAGGCGAUCCAACUCCUUCUUCAGAGUACGUAUCUCGCCCUUAACACUGCCAAACGUGGAUUUGGACCAGGCGCCCAAGUUUUGGGCCAACGCCUCCAGGUUCGCACGCACUUCGCACACCCGCGGGUUGUGGCUGUUGAGCUCCCACCCCGCCUGAACUGCUGUUUUGAGGUCCGGAUGAGUAUCCCACAUAACCUCAUAACGAAACUGUUUUGUUUUCUUUCCUCUGCCACCUGGUUGUGCUAAGUGUAGAAGAACCGCUGAGUGAUCUGAAGUAGCCGCCGUAACAUGUUCCACGGCCGCUGAGGGAAACAGUCCGCACCAAUUGACCGAGCCCAAGGCUCUAUCCAACCUGACACGGGUAUAUGAGCCGCUGGUUACUUUCUUCUCAUAUGUCCAUCUUGUACCUUUGAAGCCCAGAUCGACCAAACCACAAACAUCCACUGCAUCUCUAAAGCCCUGGAUUUGCGCCUGACUCCUCGAGCCAAUGCCAUCAUGCUCAUCAUGCUUUAGGACCUCAUUGAAAUCUCCAAUACACACCCACGGCAAAUCUUGGAGUGUAGACAAAUUUUUCAUAGUAUCCCAAGUGUGGUGACGAAGAUGUGUCUAUACUUCUCCGUAGAAAGAAGAAAGCCUCCACGGUUGGUCACCCAUGCCAGUUACUCUACCAUCAAUAUGAUACUUCGAGUAGCCCAAAAUCUCAAUGUUUAUUUCAUUAUUCCAAAACAUAGCUAAACCUCCGCUUCUACCAGAGGCAUCCACAUCAAAAGAACUAUCAAAACCUAAAGUACUUUUUAAAUUUUCAACUCUGUCCCCACUGAGCCGGGUCUCAACUAUACAAAGUACUCUAGGGGCAAACUUGUUUGCGAAUUCACGCAGUUCUUGAAUUGUCGGGUCGCUGCCAAUCCCCCGGCAAUUCCAGCAGAGCAGACUCAUUGCGUCCGGCGGUCCUCCACCGGGGAGGCCGCCAUUCUCAUGUCCGAGUUUUUCCCUCUAGUAGGGGUUUUCUUCACGCCACCCGUGCCUGCCUUCUCACUAUGGACUGACAUCUUUAACCUCUUUGGUUCCUGUUUCGGCGGGGGGCUGAGAGGCACUGUCUCCCCGCUGGUUUUAGGAACUAGGGAAAGCUCCAAACCUGCAGCCGUAUUAGCUUUCGGUGAGCCAGUAACUUGUUCAGAAGAUCGUUUACAGUUGGCUUCAGUCACGUCCAUAUCCACAUCAUGUUCCUGCAUAUUCUCCUCAUCAUGUUCAGUUUCAGCUGUAGAUUGACGAUCAUCGUUCCUGGCUCUCUGAUUCCUGGUCCUACGGCGGGUCCCCCAAGCUGUAGUCGCCGGCGCACGGUGGUUUUUAAAAACCAAGGCAGAAGGAGGAUGAACCCCGUCCCCGUGCUCUUUAAACUCGUGUCCCAUCAUGCCGCACACCUGACACCAAUCCGGCAAGCGCUCAUACUUGACAGCAAAGAUCUGUCGUUCUCCUCCUCGGACCAGAGAUAUUGCUUUCUUCAAUGGCUACCGAACAUCCAGCCGGACUCUGACUCGAUAGAAGUUCCCCUCGAAAUCAAACGAAGACGGUUCUGAGUCCACAAACUCGCCGAUCUUCGAGGCCAAUGCCUUGACUUUGCCAUGAAAAGCUAUAGGAAGCUCGAUGAUCCGCGCCCAUAUCUCAAUCGUGAAGAGCUCAAUUGAGGAAGGCUUUGAGUAUCCAUCAUACGGAGUAAUAACCACGGGAUUCCCCCUGAAGUGCCAUGGCCCUCCUUGCGUGACCCGCUCCCAAUCGCCCAAACAAUCGAAUUGCAUCUGAAAUAGAUUCUCCUCGAGGGUUUUGAUCUUGACUGGCCUAGCUAGAUCCCAUGCAGUCUUCAUGUUCCAGAAGAACCAGUACGAGCUGAAGCCCUUAUCCAUAUGGACUCGGGCCAAAAUCAUCCAACGGAGAGCCUCCUCCGCCGGCUCAUCUUCAUCCUUGAAGAUCACGUCAUCGAGGUCGUCUUCCUUCAGGGCCAAUUCCUUCAUCAGAUCCUCCAAGUUGCCUUUUCCUUUGUUGCCUGAUCCCGACGAACUCCCGCCAGUCGCCAUACAGAUCGAUCUCCUGUGCCCUUGGCAGCACCCAAAAACCCUAACCGCUCCGACAGUCCAGCCCGUAACCAGUAUGAGAGACCUGGCCGCGAAACCUAACUCCGAUCGGGUGGAAGGAAAAGGUAGAUUCUCAACGUCACCAAUGGCGGCGAGAGGAGAGUAAACCCUAGCUAGAGGGAACGUAGUAAACCGGAUUCUCGAUAGUCCACCGAACUGACGUGAAGUGCACUCUUGGCCGCUCGCUAGAAGGCGCGGUGCGCUGAAGCCCACUAGCCAAGCAGGCCAACUGAGUUUGCUGAUUUAUAGUUUGAAGGAAAAAAAUUAUAUACUUAAUAUGCAGAUACCAUUAUACCAAUUUCGCAUAAAGUCACCAUGUGCUUAUAGGAAGUUGCCAAUCCAGGAGGUAUUGAACUUUUAAAGCAUAAAUUUCCCUCAAAAAAACUUUUAAAGCAUAAAUAAGACGGCAAAAUCACUUCGUCAUCAUUGGAUAACUAAGUUCGUUACAUGGGACUGUUGCCUAUCACUCUCACGUAUGUACUUCAUCAAGUUAUUUCCUACUCUGAACUUUCAAGGAAGUUGCGCGUAGGAAACAAAUGUACAACAAUGAAAUAUACUUCAAUCUUUGAUUAUCUGUGAACUAAAAUUUGAAUAUGACAAAAAGUUACGUGUUCUUAAAAAAAUCGCGUCAACUUUGGUUAAUAUGGUUAUUACCGAAACCGAACCGAAUUUAAAUGGUUAUUACUGAAACCGAACCGUGUUUUUAUACGAAACCGUACAAACUGAAGUAUAAAACCGUACGAACCAAAAACUAUAUAAACCGAACCGAAUCAAACCGAAAAGACCGAACGCACACUCCCAGCUCUUCUCCCCUCUGCUUGUUCGCUUCUGCGGAGAGGAGGAAUCCCAGUUCCUUCACUAUGGCUAGAGUUUAAGUUAGGUUUUUCUUGCAGUGGCGUUCAGAUGAAAGGUAGUGUCUCACCUUCGAGCUGGUUUUUUGGGUUUUGAUCCUUCUUGAGUUCAUUCAUGGACGAAUUCGACGGUGCUCCACCGUAGAUUACUGUCAUCCCAAGAAGUGAUGACUACAAGCACUGAACUGGGCAAACCUUGUUUUAGUAAGGAAGUGGUCGUGCUAAGGCCCGACAGGACUAGUGCACUAGAAUAACAAUUGUCGUCAAUCAAGAAAAUUUGGAUCGGAAGGAUCAAAUAUGUAGACACAUAACCAAAGACAAACGAAGAUUGGUUCGAAAUAGAUCCAUCGAAUACCAGCGUCUACCGUAUCCCACGAGACAAUGGAGACACACCAUCACACGCCCUACAACGCCGCUAAAAUGCACCACCGGGGUGAGGAGUGGACAUAGAGAUAUUAUCCCUAAUAGGGGACAUCGCCGCCGCCACAUAACCCCAACCGGGACGAUCAACCAAACAAGAACGAGAGCAUGGCCCCUCUCGCCAAAGAGGGGCCGGCGUCCUCUCCACCUCCACGACCCAAAGACCAUCAGAGGUGAGGUGGACCGACACCGACACUGAUGGGAGGAGGGAAAACCUAGUCGCAUGGGAGUCGCUUCUUGGGGAGGAGGAAAACUAAGGAUAUGACUAAUGCAUGAAGACUUCCUGGCUCUCAUCGACAAUGUUAGGUCGGCUUCGGACAUCCGGUAGGGAAGCACGGCAACAGUGCAUCGAUACCUUGUUGUUAUACCAGCAGUGGUCGUCUGGUGGUCCAUGAACUUUAAUGUAAUUUUAUUAUGUUGAACGUGAAUUUUUAAAAUAGAUUUGCACCCUUCCAUGAAAAAACUGACCAAAGGUUCCACUAUAUUCAAAACAAACAUGCAGACUCUGAAUCAUUGCAUCAAGUUUCUUUUGGCGGUAACUAGCACAUCAAGUUAGCUGGUUAAAAAUGUAGUUGCAUAAAAAAUAAAGUUAUGCCCCGCAAAAUAAAAACCCAAUCUAUACAAUGUGUUUAACCAUGUGGACUUUUUUAAUCAGGAUAACCAUGUGGAUUUUGGUUAGGUGAGAAGUAAUCGCAAAGUCAUAUUGUGCGGUUCCGUGAUGUGCCGGUAGAUCUAGGUCAUCCACUUGUUCUGAGAUUCGUAAAAAUGUAUGGCCCACCUAAAUGUAUAACACUGGUAUAUUUCUUGUAUUUUUAUUUUUAGUCAAAUCAAUGGCAACAUAAUGGACCCCAAAGUACACCUUUUGUCAAGGACGGUAUGCAUGCAAGUUUCUCCUCUCACUCUACCUGCGGCACAAAUCCAUAGACUUUAUUUCCUCUUAGAGAAUUUGAAUCAACCAUAUCUUUUAAACUAUAGACUCGUUUUUGAAUUUUUUAUAUAUAUUUGGACUCCUGGCGUCAAGAACUUUAAAACUAGACCAAUUUUGGUUACAUUUCAAACACAUUUAAUUUUCGACGUUUCACAUUUCAUAUGUGAAAUAAACACAUUUCACUAUAAAAAUCUGAAACAAACCUAUUUCACUAGAAAUAUGUGAAAAUAACACUUUCCACAUAAACCUAUUAAACUCAAAUGACACCUUGUGAAACUAAUUAUUUGGAAGUAUGUAACAUUUUUAUUUCAAAAGAGUAAAAUAAGUUAUUUCAUAACAUUUUUUUGAAAUGUGUAACAAUUUAUUUCAAAAAAGUGAAACAUCAUCUUUAAAAUGUGCAAUUGAAAUAUAUGUAUCUUUAUGAAACAAGUCAAUGGAAAGUGAAAUUUAUGUUUUGAAAGUGAAAAAUAGUAUGAAACCAAAAAGUUAACUUGUGAAACUGAUUAUUUCCAAAUGUGUAACAAUUUAUUUCAUAAGAGUGAAACAUGUUAUUUCAAACAUGUGCAAUUGAAAUGUAUGUGCUUUUUGUGAAACAAGCCCGUGGAAAGUGAAAUUCAUGUUCUGAAAGUGAAAACAAUAUGAAACUAAAAUGUUAAUUUGUGAAACUGAUUAUUUUGAAAUGUCCAACAAUUUAUUUCAAGAGUGUCAACUUGUGAAACCGAUUAUAUGAACUGAAAUGUCAACUUGUGAAACCGAUCAUUUUCAAAUGUACAAUUGAAAUAGAUGUGAUUUAUCUGAAACAAGCCGGUGAAAAGUGAAAUGUAAGUUCUAAAUGUGAAAAUCAACACAAAACUGAAAUGUGAAUUUGUGAAACUGACUGAAAUCAUUUUAUUCAUAAGGUUUUGUUUUAAAGAUUUUUGCGACAUGAUUUCAAAUAUAUAAUUUUUUUUUGAAAUCGAAAGUUUGGUUUAAGAGAUAUGAAUGAUUUUAAGUUAGCAAAGGUGAAAUAAAUGUAUGCAUUAGUUUGAGAGAGAGAGAGAGAGAGAGAAAGAGGGAAUGGAUAGCACAUGCAUCCGUAUCCUUUGCAUGUUGUAUAGCCAUGUAUUUUCUACUCCAUCCGUUCCUAAAUAAUUGUCUUUCUAGCCAUCUCAAAUGGACUACAACAUACGGAUGUAUGUAGACAUGUUUUAGAGUGUAGAUUCACUCAUUUUUGCUCCGUAUGUAGUCACUUAUUGAAAUCUAUAGAAAUACAAUUAUUUAGGAACGGAAUCUACACUCAUUUUGCUCCGUAUGUAGUCACUUGUUGAAAUCUAUAGAAAUAUUCCUAAAUAAUUGUAUUUCUAUAGAUUUCAACAAGUGACUACAUACGGAGCAAAAUAAGUGAAUCUACACUCUAAAACAUGUCUACAUACAUCCUCCAUUCCUAAAUAAUUGUAUUUCUAUAGAUUUCAACAAGUGACUACAUACGGAGCAAAAUGAGUGAAUCUACACUCUAAAACAUGUCUACAUACAUCCGUAUAUUGUAGUCCAUUUGAGAUGGCUAGAAAGACAAUUAUUUGGAAACGGAGGGAGUAGAACAGAAUGCUUUGUUUUUUAUACUAUAAUAUAGUGUUGCACCAAUCUUUAAAACGCAAUGGACGGCAGGAGAUCUGCCGGUACGAACCGCGCAAUUUUCCUGAUAGGAGAAGUAAUCAUCAACAAAAAAAAAAA
rnacentral:lncRNA from 1 species